rnacentral:rRNA from 1 species
CCUACGGGAGGCAGCAGUUUCGAAUCAUUCACAAUGGGCGAAAGCCUGAUGGUGCGACGCCGCGUGAGGGAUGAAGGUCUUCGGAUUGUAAACCUCUGUCACCGGGGAAGAAACGCUUUGAGUUAAUAGUUCAAAGCCUGACUUAACCCGGAGAGGAAGCAGUGGCUAACUCCGUGCCAGCAGCCGCGGUAAUACAGAGACUGCAAGCGUUAUUCGGAUUCACUGGGCGUAAAGGGUGCGCAGGCGGCCAUGUGUGUGAGGCGUGAAAGCCCGAGGCUCAACCUCGGAAUUGCACCUCAAACUACAUGGCUAGAGCAUUGGAGAGGGUAGCAGAAUUCAUGGUGUAGCAGUGAAAUGCGUAGAUAUCAUGAGGAAUACCAGAGGCGAAGGCGGCUACCUGGACAAUUGCUGACGCUCAGGCACGAAAGCGUGGGGAGCAAAAGGGAUUAGAUACCCCUGUAGUCCACGCCCUAAACGGUGCAUACUAGGUCUUGGCGGAUUCGACCCCACCAGGGCCCAAGCUAACGCGAUAAGUAUGCCGCCUGAGGACUACGGCCGCAGGCUAAAACUUAAGGAAUUGACGGCUUGAGGACGNGCGAGCGACGACGAGGGAGAGG